rnacentral:lncRNA from 1 species
AGAAAGUACCUAUUCCACGUUUACUGGUAACGUCUUGCCCUGCUAAGACGGGCAAGAAAAGAAAGACGUUUUUAGAAAAAGCUGCAAAAAAGAGGUCUUUGGAUUUAGCGAGAGGAAAGACAAAAAUCUGCAUCGGAACAUCUUUUGAACGAUGGCGACAAUUGAAGGAGGACAAGGGCCUGAAAACUGAUGCUAUGUUUGCUGAAUUACUUUUGGACAGCUAUAACUGUGCUCCGUCGACUUCAACGCCGUGGAAGGACUCACUUGUGAGACUACCUAACCCCGCUGUGUCAACUGUUGCUCCCGAGUCACUGUCUGAGAGGUGAACCACUGCCGAAACAAUAAGUUCCCACAGUGGACGACGCUGCCACAUACAGAGCCUCACCUGCCGACCA